rnacentral:rRNA from 1 species
UGAACGGGUACAUGANGUGCUUGCACUUCAUGCACNUACUGGCGGACGUGNCGAGUAAUGGUAUGGGGCAUCUGCCGAANUGUGAGGGGGACAACAGUUGGCAAACGACUGCUAAUACCGCNUANUGUUGAUANACCAUUNGCAUGGGACCUUCAGGCCAUGCUCCNUUUGAUGAACCCAUAUGGGAUUACCUAGAUUGGUACGGUAAAGGCUUACCAAGGCNACGAUCUCUAGCUGGUCUGACAGGAUGACCAGCCACACUGGAACUGAGACACGGUCCANACUCCUACGGGAGGCAGCAGUGGGGAAUAUUGCACNNUGNGGGAAACCCUGAUGCAGCCAUGCCGCGAGUAUGAAGAAGGCCUUCUGGUUGUAAAGUACUUUCGGUAAUGACGAAGGUGNUGUAUCUANUANGUGCAUCAAUUGACGUUAAUUACAGAANAAGCACCGGCUAACUCCGUGCCACCANCCGCNNCANUACUGANGGUGCGANCGUUAAUCUGAAUGACUGGGCGUAAGGGGCAUGUAUGCGGAUAAUUAAGUUAGGUGUGAAAGCCCUGGGCUCAACCUACGAAUUGCNCUUANNACUGGUUAACUAG